rnacentral:pre_miRNA from 1 species
UCAGGUCUGUUGUGGAUGGUGUUCAGCACCAAGGACAGGUCUGCUUGUCUGUGUGUGGAUGGUGUUCAGCACCAAGGACAGGUCUGCUUGUCU